rnacentral:rRNA from 1 species
UACGGGGGGAGCAAGCGUUGUUCGGAUUUACUGGGCGUAAAGAGCUCGUAGGCGGUUUGUCGCGUCUGCUGUGAAAUCCCGAGGCUCAACCUCGGGCCUGCAGUGGGUACGGGCAGACUGGAGUGCGGUAGGGGAGAAUGGAAUUCCUGGUGUAGCGGUGGAAUGCGCAGAUAUCAGGAGGAACACCGAUGGCGAAGGCAGUUCUCUGGGCCGUAACUGACGCUGAGGAGCGAAAGCGUGGGGAGCGAACAGG